rfam:Myotis davidii contig1930, whole genome shotgun sequence.
GAGACCCCCUUCUGGGGCAAGACUUGCUUCAUUGGGUCUUUAGUGCUCACUGAGUCUGCCCCCUGGUGUGUCUCU